AACGUAGGUGGCAAGCGUUAUCCGGAAUUACUGGGCGUAAAGGGUGUGCAGGCGGGAGGGUAAGUGGGGUAUGAAAUAUCCCAGCUUAACUGGGAGGGGUUAUGCCAGACUGCCUUUCUAGAGGACGAGAGAGGGGGGUGGAAUUCCGGGUGUAGUGGUGAAAUGCGUAGAUAUCGGGAAGAACACCCGUGGCGAAGGCGGCUCUCUGGGACGGUACUGACGCUGAGACGCGAAAGCGUGGGGAGCGAACAGG
rnacentral:rRNA from 1 species